rnacentral:tRNA from 1 species
GCCUUCGUGGUGUAACGGCAGCACACUCGGCACGUAUUUGAGAGGUCCAGGUUCGAGUCCCAGCGAAGGCA